rnacentral:lncRNA from 1 species
UAAAAUUGGAAAAUUGCCAAAAUUAGCUAAAUAAAAAUGGGACCAAAUUGAAAUAUCUAGAAUUCUCUUCAUGUCUCUUCAUUUUCAUCAGCUGAAACACAGCCAUGGAAGAGGGUUCAAGCUAGUUUUCAUACUCUAGCUUCAUGUAAGUUUAAUUUUUUUCUUUCUCUUUGAAAUUUCUAAGAUUUUGGACUUUUACAAUUGGGUCCAACUUACUAUGUCAUUAGUUUUUUAUUCCGUGGCUAAUUUUUAAAGUUACUAUGGAUGAGUG